UGAGGAAUAUUGGUCAAUGGGCGAGAGCCUGAACCAGCCAAGUAGCGUGCAGGAUGACGGCCCUAUGGGUUGUAAACUGCUUUUAUAUGGGAAUAAAGUGAGGGACGUGUCCCUUAUUGCAUGUACCAUACGAAUAAGGACCGGCUAAUUCCGUGCCAGCAGCCGCGGUAAUACGGAAGGUCCAGGCGUUAUCCGGAUUUAUUGGGCGUAAAGCGAGCGCAGGCGGUUAGAAAAGUCUGAAGUGAAAGGCAGUGGCUCAACCAUUGUAGGCUUUGGAAACUGUUUAACUUGAGUGCAGAAGGGGAGAGUGGAAUUCCAUGUGUAGCGGUGAAAUGCGUAGAUAUAUGGAGGAACACCGGUGGCGAAAGCGGCUCUCUGGUCUGUAACUGACGCUGAGGCUCGAAAGCGUGGGGAGCGAACAGG
rnacentral:rRNA from 1 species